rnacentral:rRNA from 1 species
AUGAAACAACCUCUUGGGUUUGUAAAUGCACGUGCACCACUUCAUGUGUGUAAGCUUGACAAGGCAUUGUAUGGACUGAAACAGGCACCAAGAGCAUGGUAUUCUCAUCUCAGUAAAAAGAUGCAAGCACCUGGUUUUGUUCCUUCAAAGUGUGACACUUCGUUAUUUAUCUAUAACAAGUCAAGUAUAUCCAUAUUUGUUCUCGUAUAUGUUGAUGAUAUAAUUGUGACAAGCUCAUCUAAUGAAGCAAUAACAGCACUAUUGAAGGAUUUAAGUGCAAAAUUUGCCCUCAAGGAUCUAGGAGAUCUACAUUAUUUCCUUGGUAUUGAGGUUAAGCAACACAAGGAUGGUCUUCACCUCUCUCAAGAAAAGUAUGCAACAGACUUAGUGAAAAAGGCUGGUUUGCAAAGUUGUAAGCCUGCACCCACUCCUUUAUCUAGCACAGAAAAAUUAUCUCUUGCUGAAGCAGAGCUUCUGAAUUCAGAAAAUAGUACAAAAUACAGAAGCCUGGUAGGUGCAAUUCAGUACUUGACACUGAACAGAUCAGACAUUUCAUUUGCUGUUAACAAAGUAUGCCAGUUCCUUCAUGCACCUACUACUGUUCACUUGACUGCUGCAAAACGCAUAGUAAGAUAUGUGAAAAAUACAUUGAGCAUUGGCCUAAAUUUUAGCAAGUCAUCCUCAACACUUAUUAGUGCCUUCUCGACUAGGCAGGUUGUCUAG